rnacentral:rRNA from 1 species
CCUGAAUUCGAAUGGGGCAUGGAUUCAAGACAGUCCGUUCUGCAUAACAGGCUCCCGCCCGCCAGAUGUUGCUGGUCGCCCGCGGCGAUUCAUUUCGCUUGCGGUGUCGUUCCGGCGAUGACUCGGUGGUGUGGUGUGUACUCUGGCAGCGGAUGUGUGCACUUCCCCCCUAGUAGAAACGUCGCGACCCGUUGGGUGCCGGUCUAAGGCCUGGGAUGGCAGACCAUGUGUUCUGAGGGGGCUCCCUCAGGCGCGUGGACGCCUGGUGACCCGGCCGGCUGCCCGACGGUAUGAUCAGAGGAGUCAAUCCGCUAUAGUAAGGUGCGUCCGGCCCGGUAGUCGAAGUGCACGAGGUUUCUGGGAAAACCGGGGUUGUCGCCUCGUACCUCGUUCGUCUUCGAUGCCGGUGUCCUCGGACUGGAUCAGUACUCCCGUCCGCGGCGCCAUUUUCGGAUGGUCUCCCG